AUUAUGGAGAGUUUGAUCCUGGCUCAGGACGAACGCUGGCGGCGUGCCUAAUACAUGCAAGUCGAGCGGAGUUGAUGAGAAGCUUGCUUCUCUGAUGCUUAGCGGCGGACGGGUGAGUAACACGUAGGCAACCUGCCCACAAGAUCGGGAUAACAUUCGGAAACGAAUGCUAAGACCGGAUAAACAGUGCUCUCGCAUGAGAGGGCUGGGAAAGACGGAGCAAUCUGUCACUUGCGGAUGGGCCUGCGGCGCAUUAGCUAGUUGGUGAGGUAACGGCCCACCAAGGCGACGAUGCGUAG
rnacentral:ncRNA from 1 species